rnacentral:lncRNA from 1 species
ACCUAAGCAAUGCACUACCAUAUUCAAUUAAAAUCCACUAAGUAAAACCUCAAUAACUAUUUAUCUCAACAUGCAAUGCACUACCACAUAUACAAUUAAAAUCCAAUAGCACACAUGACAGCUGUAGUGUCCAUGUCAGCAAAACAAAUAAGUAUAGCCCACAUCAUCAUACUACAUAAUCCAUUAAUCCGCAAUUCCCGCAGCAACGCGCGGGGUAUGCUCCUAGU